rnacentral:ncRNA from 1 species
AAAAGUCUAGUAUGCAGACAUUUAACGCAUACCAUCUAGCGUGGAAGGUAACACGCAAUUAUAAAUCAAACCAUUAAAAUAGAUGCAGGAGGAAA